UAGAUGCGAGAGUAGAGCAUAUCAAUAAGCGGAGGAAAAGAAACUAACAAGGAUUCCCUUAGUAACGGCGAGUGAAGCGGGAAGAGCUCAAAUUUGAAAUCUUCAAGGUUCUACCUUGACGAAUUGUAGUUUAUAGAAGUGUUUUCUGUUAGUAGAGUGGCAAAAGUUCUUUGGAAUAGGACAUCAUAGAGGGUGAGAAUCCCGUAUUUGGUCAUUCCUCCUAGCGUUGUGAUACACUUUCAACGAGUCGGAUUGUUUGGGAAUGCAGUCCAAAAUGGGUGGUAAAUUUCAUCUAAAGCUAAAUAUUGGCGAGAGACCGAUAGCGAACAAGUACCGUGAGGGAAAGAUGAAAAGAACUUUGAAAAGAGAGUUAAACAGUACGUGAAAUUGUCAAAAGGGAAGCGUUUGACACCAGUGUUGUUUUUCCGAAAAUCAAUUACGAAUGUUUUGUUUUUAAGAAGUUAUGACUUCAUCGGCUUGCUUCUUUCUUUACGAAACUUUCUUAAUGCACUUUUCGGUUAACAAGUCAACAUCAAUUUCUUUUGUUGUAAAAGGGUAUGAGGAAGGUGGCUUUCUUUUCGGAGAAAGUGUUUAUAGCCUUGUGCCUCUGCAAUCGGAGAGAUUGAGGUCUGCAGCGUAGAUCCUUCGGGGUUAGAUACAUUUGUGCUAAGUUAUAGCUUUUCAUAGACAACUUGUUGACUAUGUUUAGUCUUGUAGCUUACUCGCUUAUGCUAUUUUACCUACGCUUAGGAUGUUGACACACGCGCGUGCUCG
rnacentral:rRNA from 1 species